rnacentral:rRNA from 1 species
AUUGAACGCUGGCGGCAGGCCUAACACAUGCAAGUCGAAAGAGUGGCGGACGGGUGUGUCAUGUCUGGGAAACUGCCCGAUGGAGGGGGAUAACUACUGGAAACGGUAGCUAAUACCGCAUACCAUCGGAUGUGCCCAGAUGGGAUUAGCUAGUAGGUGGGGUAACGGCUCACCUAGGCGACGAUCCCUAGCUGGUCCGAGCGGAUGACCAGCCACACUGGAACUGAGACACGGUCCAGACUCCUACGGAGGGCAGCAGUGGAGGAUAUUGCACGAUGGGCGCAAGCCUGAUGCAGCCAUGCCGCGUGUAUGAAGAAGGCCUUCGGGUUGUAAAGUACUUUCAGCGAGGAGGCGUUACUCGCAGAAGAAGCACCGGCUAACUCCGUGCCAGCAGCCGCGGUAAUUC